AUAAUAAUAUACAUGUAUAACAAUGAUUAUUUUGCUGCUUUAUAAAAUGAUAUAUAAAAAUAAAAUGACAGACAGACAAGAAGAACAUCAAUAGAUAAAACAAUACAAUAAAGAUAACAGACUUAAUAGAUAAGACAUCAAAGUAAAUGGAUCAAAAUAUAGAUCUCAAUAUAUAAAACAUAUAGUAUAAGAGGGAAAAUGUUCAGCAUCAAAUAGGAUACAACCAUUGCAGAUUUAGCCAUAAACCACAUACAACCAUUGAAGAUUUAGCCAAAAACCAGAUAUAACCAUUGAAGAUUUAGCCAUAAACCACAUACAACCAUUGAAGAUUUAGCCAAAAACCAGAUACAACCAUUGAAGAUUUAGCCAUAAACCAAACUUCACAAAAUUUAAUGCCCAUUUUAAUAUAAAAUUUGUCUGUCUUUGGACAGAAUGGACUAUCAGCAUCUAUGGAUUACUAGUAUAAAGGCCACAACCAUAUAGCCAGGGGGUUUGAAGGGUUCAUAUGACUCCCCCCCUGAAAACAAAUAAGCACUGUUUGAAAUUGUAACUGUUAAAGUUGAGUAUGAUAGCUUCGUGAUUCCAUGUAAAUUGACUGAGACUCAAAUGGUACAACAAAGAACCAGAAUGGCAGUUAGAUUACACAUAAAACACAAAGUACCAAUCUUGUAGAAACAUAUUUCAUUAUAUUUAAAAAAUAUAUAUAAAUUUGAGGCAUUAAUACUUAGUUACUCAUUAAUAAAACUUUGACAAUCUAAUGAACUCAAGAUGAUUCAGGCCUAGUACAUGUAGUAUGAAAUAAGCUUCUUAAAAAGUUCUUUUUCAAAUAAUAGUUAUCAAAGGUACCAGGGUUAUAAUUUAGUACGCCAGACGCGCGUUUCGUCUACAUAAAACUCAUCAGUGACGCUCAAAUCAAAAAUAUUUAUAAACCCAAACAAGAACUAAGUUGAAGAGCAUCGAGGAUCCAAAAUUCCAAAAAGUUGUGCCAAAUACGGCUAAGGUAAUCUAUGCCUGGGAUAAGAAAAUCCUUAGUUUUUCAAAAGUUCAAAGUUUU
rnacentral:lncRNA from 1 species